CGGUGAAAUGCUCAGAGAUAUGGAGGAACACCAGUGGCGAAGGCGACUUUCUGGUCUGUAACUGACGAUGUUGUGCGAAAGCGUGGGGAUCAAACAUGAUUAGAUACCCUGGUAGUCCACGCCGUAAACGAUGAGUGCUAAGUGUUAGGGGGUUUCCGCCCCUAAGUGCUGCAGCUAACGCAUUAAGCACUCCGCCUGGGGAGUACGACCGCAAGGUUGAAACUCAAAGGAAUUGACUGGGACCCGCACAAGCGGUGGAGCAUGUGGUUUAAUUCGAAGCAACGCGAAGAACCUUACCA
rnacentral:rRNA from 1 species